AUUGAACGCUGGCGGCAUGCCUUACACAUGCAAGUCGAACGGUAACAGGUCUUCGGAUGCUGACGAGUGGCGCACGGGUGAGUAAUACAUCGGAACGUGCCCGAUCGUGGGGGAUAACGAGGCGAAAGCUUUGCUAAUACCGCAUACGAUCUACGGAUGAAAGCGGGGGAUCUUCGGACCUCGCGCGGACGGAGCGGCCGAUGGCAGAUUAGGUAGUUGGUGGGAUAAAAGCUUACCAAGCCGACGAUCUGUAGCUGGUCUGAGAGGAUGAUCAGCCACACUGGAACUGAGACACGGCCCAGACUCCUACGGGAGGCAGCAGUGGGGAAUUUUGGACAAUGGGCGAAAGCCUGAUCCAGCCAUGCCGCGUGCAGGAUGAAGGCCUUCGGGUUGUAAACUGCUUUUGUACGGAACGAAAAGCCUCUUUCUAAUAAAGAGGGGUCAUGACGGUACCGUAAGAAUAAGCACCGGCUAACUACGUG
rnacentral:rRNA from 1 species